GUGGGGAAUUUUGGACAAUGGACGCAAGUCUGAUCCAGCCAUUCCGCGUGCAGGAUGAAGGCCCUCGGGUUGUAAACUGCUUUUGUACGGAACGAAAAGGUUUCUAUUAAUACUAGGAGCUCAUGACGGUACCGUAAGAAUAAGCACCGGCUAACUACGUGCCAGCAGCCGCGGUAAUACGUAGGGUGCAAGCGUUAAUCGGAAUUACUGGGCGUAAAGCGUGCGCAGGCGGUUAUGUAAGACAGAGGUGAAAUCCCCGGGCUCAACCUGGGAACUGCCUUUGUGACUGCAUAGCUAGAGUACGGUAGAGGGGGAUGGAAUUCCGCGUGUAGCAGUGAAAUGCGUAGAUAUGCGGAGGAACACCGAUGGCGAAGGCAAUCCCCUGGACCUGUACUGACGCUCAUGCACGAAAGCGUGGGGAGCAAACAGGAUUAGAUACCC
rnacentral:rRNA from 1 species